rnacentral:lncRNA from 1 species
GGAAGAGAAGAGGGUGUUAGCAGGAGCUUCCUGGAGGGGAUGAAGUGGGACUUGAGCUGAGGCUAGACACUGAGCAGAGCAAGAGAGAAUCCAUGGCCUAACAGAGGGCCAAUGGCCUGCACCAAAUUGCAGUAAGGAUCCAAGUAAAUUCUAGUGGGCAAGAGGAAGAGAAGAGAAACUACAACAUCAUUAUCUUACUGCUGGAGGCAGCAGAUUACGGACCCCUGACUGUGAUGUGUCAAAUGCACUGUGUGACAACCAAGACCCUACACAUCUGGGGGGCACUUCAGGAUUCCUCCAGGCGGCAGUUGCUGGCCUAGACUCACUUCUUCAGGAGGGAGGUUCGCCCUGGAAAAGCUGAUUUGCAUUUCUGCUGGGAUCGAUGCCGUGGAGACUGAAUACAUUGAGGUCUCCAGGUGAAAGAAGAAAGCUUAACCUGGCUUCUGAAUUCCAAGAGCACACGGCAAAGUGACUCACUGGAGGAACAGAUUCAUUGAAUGAGGAAAACCAAACAAAUACUGACAUGCAAGCAAAUACUUCAAAAAUAAUGAGGACAUUGAAAUUCUAGCUCCUGUUAUGGAUGUAGACUAUCCCAGAAGACUAGAAGCCUGCGCUCCCAAAUGAAAUAACCAAUUCCAAGACUGCUUGAAGGACCUCUCUGGACUGUCCACAUGUUGAUUCCUCAACCUGGAAGACUCGUCCAUCCCUUGUCUGUCUGUCUUCAUCAAACAGGAAUUUAUUCUUCAAAACCUAGAUCUGUCACUCACUCUUUUAUAAACACUUUCUUGAACUAAUCACUUCCUCCCUACCUGUCUUUGGAAUCUUAUAAAAGCAUCCCUUCGGGAACAUGUGAUGUUUCUUAUGAAUUCUUCUCACAUCUGUAUUUCAUAGUAGAGUGAAGCCACCACAUUCUUCUUUCUGUUAACAACACCUCACACGGUAACCAGGGCACAAUAGAUGCCUCAUGGUGUUUCUUACACUGAAUUGCACUCACCUUGAACUUACAUUACUAUAAUAGUUCAUUCUCCUUCCAUAGACACUUUCUUAUGUUGACCCCAGUUCUACCUCUCUUUACCUUCCACUCACUGGUCCUAUUUUGUCCCUUUGGGACAACACAGAAUAAGCCUAUUUCCUCUUCAAAUAAGGCCCUAUGCAAAAUGCAGGCACCUUUUAUGACAUGCAUAGUGAAAAAACCUUCAACCUGUUCUCAUAUGAUAUGUUUCUGGGACCAUUCACCUGUCCAUGGGCACACACUCUGGUGCAUCACUGGGACCAUUCACCUGCUCUACUGCACCACUUCCUCCACAAGUAUGGUGGCCAGAACAAGAGCCCAUAGGGUAGAUGUCAACUGACCAUUGAGUAGCACAAGACAUCACGCUUCUGUUAGAACAAGCUAUGAUUAUAUCGGGGUCUUUUUAGCAAACCAUAUCACACUACUCACUUCGAUCACGUUCAGUUUAUCCUAAAUCAUGGAUAGUCAUUGUGUUACUAUACUGUCUCAUAAGUACAUGUUAAAAAUUUGAGAGAUUAAAAAAAAAAUUGUCUUACAUCAUUCUCCAGAUAUGGCUGAAAGUCAUCUGGCUGUGGCAAAUAGGGCUACACUGGCAAUCUGGUUAUUAGUCUUGAAAAGUGUUCUAAUCGUGAAUUAUCACAUUCGCAAGGUUGAUAAUAUACUAUAAGGAGUAAGGCUGAGGCUGGGGAUUCUCCACAGAAACACACUGGGACAGAUCUGUCCAUGAUUAAGAGAAGGAAAUAUGUCCCAGACCAACUGGCAAAUGGUUGCUUCCCUCAUCCUCCAAGUCUCUAAACAAAGAGCCUCCAAGAACCUGCUCAGUCUCUACGGCCAGAGUCCAUUCUGACUGGACAAUAAUGCUGGUGCCUUUACAGUUCUUCAGUCUUAGCAGUUGUUAAAUAUUUUGAUCACCCUCUUUUCUUCUGAACCGAGAGGGGAUUUUACUAAUGGCCUUCAAGUACACAAAUGACUGUCUGAGUGAAUCAUGGCCAAUUAAUCUCCAAAUCCACAGGGAAGAAAACAAAAGGAAAUGAGUACAACUGUAGCAAGGACUUAGCAUGGACUGACAGGGGUGUGGGAGAGUGACACCGGGUGCUCCUAUUCUCCCAUUUGGACAGACUUUAUAAGCCAGAUGGAGCCCCACAGAUCUGGUGGCUAAAGCCCAAGCCUGUCUGAGAAUGACUUUGCGUGGUUUCUCAGGGUCUGGGAUCCUCCAGGCAAAAAGUCAGAGGGAAAGGGCCAUGUGUGGGAGGAACCAUUAUCUAAUAUUAGUCUUUUGACUCUUGUAAGAACUGAAACAAAUGAUCAUUUACUGGUAUCUUGCACCAAAUCAGUCUGGAGAAGAGAAACUAUCAGAUGUUUCAACUCAACAGCUGCACAUCAAAAAUAGUAUUUGAGACACCAGGAGCCCUGUGGCAUGAAUGCCAGAAGCAAGUCUAGUAUGUUGGGGGCUCUGAAGUUUCUUGUUCCUGGAAUGAAAGGAGACAGUAUUGCUGGCCACAGGCACAGUGUCAAUGUACUCCUAGUUGCAGUCACACUACUUUUGUAUGUUUUGUUUGUACAUGUAUAUACACACAUGUAUGCAUACAAGCACUCAAACACAAACGAUGGUUAAGAAAAAUACAUGCUAAACAGCCAGUCAUCCACCUUCCAAAAAUCUCUCCAGCAGGAUCCUUUGGGUCUCAUUCUUUUCUAAACCAACUCAUUAGGAAACUCACACACAAAAAACAAGAACUACUUCUAUGAACCUCUAAUUUUGCAUAUGAUACAGGCAUUUCUAUCAGGUGUUAUGCCAUAAAUUAGACAAAAUGUGGUUGAUAAUUUAAGAAACGUGAUUUCCGUACACAUGCUACUAUUGGUAUCCCUAGGCUGAAAUCAUGUUGCCAUGAGCCAGGAUGGAUAUACUAGUUGUUCUAUAGCCAGCAUCUGUUCUGAUUGGAUGGCAUCCAGAUUGUGCAGAUUGAUAAAUAUUUUGAACAUCGUUCCCAGUUAUCAUGGGCUUGUGGUUGAGAAAUACCACCAUAAACACAAGAAGAAAGGUCGUUGUGUUCUCUGCCUUGGAAAACACAGUUGCUUUCUGGAGAGACUGGCUGCUCCGUUGAUAUUAUUUUCUUCUGCUCACCAGUGACUGUUGAAAAAUAUUCUGUGUGAUUAGAAUCUAGAACGCUAUUGAUUUUUGUCUGGUCUUUCAUGAUAUUUAUAAUUUCCUCAUUUAUGUUUGAGAUUAAAAAAUCUUUAGCUAACAUCAAUAAAAUACAUUAUUGCUAUUAAAA